CCCCAUUCAUUUUAUGCUGUUGUGUUUCAUUCAUUAGUUACAACCUACUGAUCCUACUUAUGCUACUAAUACCACUGAAUAUGAUACUUCAGCAGCUGCUUCUACUGUAAGGACACUACAAGGAGGAGAUGGACCAUCUUCUUAUUCACCACCACCUCCUACUGGUCAGUACAGUGUUCUUAGAGCCAGUGAUGAUGAUGAUGAUACUCCCCCACCAGUACCAGCCUAUAAUCCUAAUGGAGUACAAGAAUACUCUGAACUGAAGAGAGAGGGAGAGAAUAAGGGUCAACAGGGUCUGUCUACUGGUGCUACUGGACUAUAUUCAACCAUUAAUAAAAACACCAACAACCA